CAAAGCCAGUAGAUAUACUAAAGUAGCGACACGGACCUUGACAGGGCAACAAUAACGAUUAUACACUCUAGAGAGGGCGCAACUAUCGAAAUUCGACAUAUACCGCAUUAUUUACAUAAAAUGCCUAGCAUUGAAAAGCCUUAGUAAGUGCGUUUUGUCUCUGUUUCUACGUUUAAUCUUCACUAAAUGAAAUUGCUAAAGGGGAUGCUCAAAAGAGAUAUUAGUUAAAGGUCACAUUAGAUGAUAGAUUUAAAUCGAGAAUGUAUUUAUACAGGCAGUUUAGUUUUCCAAGGCUCGACAUUUUUUGUAAUAACGCUGUAAUUUUAAAGGUUCGUCAAAUUGUCAGUAAUUUUGAACAUACGUCAAAACUGUCAAGAUUCUCUCACUUUUGAAAAAUUGGUAAAGAGUACAGUGAUUCUGGUGGUUAUUGGUUAUGAACAGAUUCCAUGGAACUUUCAAACCUGUGCUUCAAUCACGUAAAUAAUAAAUCGACACCAUAAACAUUAAACAAACGAGCCUCCAGACUGUUCAAAGUCGUCCACAUUACGAAGCACGUCUGUGUGAGGAUACUGGAAACUCAUUCAAACAAAAAUUGUUUAAGAAAUGUAAUGUGUAUUUCAGGUAGAUUUAAACAAUACUUCCUUGAAAAUUCAUUCUGUAUUAUUAGAUUCCGCCCUAAUGGGAAGGAAUUUAAAACUGCUCUGCUUACACUGACCUUCGUUUCACAAAAUUUAAGGCAUCUAAAUCUGGGAAUUGUAGCGCAUCGAAGUUUGGUGGACUUUUUAUAGCCACUUAUUCACAACAACUAUGUUAUACAAAACUUAAAUAAUAAAGAGAAAUUCAGGUUGUA